GACGAACGCUGGCGGCGUGCUUAACACAUGCAAGUCGAACGGAAAGGCCUGCUUUCCCUUGUGGAUUGCGGGUACUCGAGUGGCGAACGGGUGAGUAACACGUGAGUGAUCUGCCCCCAACUUGGGUAUAAGCCUGGGAAACUGGGUCUAAUUCCCGAUAGGACUGCAGGGUGGUGCCUGUGGUGGAAAACGAUUUUCUAGUGGUUGGGGAUGAGCUCGCGGCCUAUCCGCUUGUUGGUGGGGUAAUGGCCUACCAAGGCGGCGACGGGUAGCCGGCCUGAGAGGGUGGACGGCCACAUUGGGACUGAGAUACGGCCCAGACUCCUACGGGAGGCAGCAGUGGGGAAUAUUGCACAAUGGGCGGAAGCCUGAUGCAGCGACGCCGCGUGGGGGAUGACGGCCUUCGGGUUGUAAACUCCUUUCGACCGCGAGGAAGCCACCUGGUUGGAAGGGUGGUGACGGUAGUGGUAGAAGAAGCACCGGCUAACUACGUG
rnacentral:rRNA from 1 species